rnacentral:rRNA from 2 species
UCCAGAGAUGGAUUGGUGCCUUCGGGAACUCUGAGACAGGUGCUGCAUGGCUGUCGUCAGCUCGUGUUGUGAAAUGUUGGGUUAAGUCCCGCAACGAGCGCAACCCUUAUCCUUUGUUGCCAGCGGUCCGGCCGGGAACUCAAAGGAGACUGCCAGUGAUAAACUGGAGGAAGGUGGGGAUGACGUCAAGUCAUCAUGGCCCUUACGAGUAGGGCUACACACGUGCUACAAUGGCGCAUACAAAGAGAAGCGACCU